ensembl:snRNA U1 U1 spliceosomal RNA
AGACCUAUCUGGCAGGGGAGAUACCAUGAACAUGAAGGUAGUAUUGCCAAGGCAAGUUUCAGCCCUUGCACUCCGGAUGAUGAGACAUUACUUAAUGGGUACAAUGCCUGUGAUUUGGGUGAUGGAUACUGUAGAAACACCGACUUCACCACUAUGCAUCAUCUCA